UUGUGAACCAUCAUGCCGUUCCUAUGUUAUCUCUACGAGGAGCUAAGUGAGAUCUAAUAUAUGUGGAAUUAUGAAAAGAUUUAUCUAUUUCUUCUGUUUAAAAAUCACUUAUUUCAGUACCAGAACCGUGAAUUUUUUGUACCCGUUUGCAAUCACUUCAGUGAGCGUGAUGGCUUAGAUUCCCAAAAGAUGAGAAGCAGAAAGAAAUUGGAACUUUCCUGCUCGAUUCUCGGAUGGAAGAACAUUUCCAAAUUGACAAAUAUCCUUAUUUUUACAGCUUUAUUGCAUGCAUAUCUAAUGUAAAAUUCCCUCAAAAGUUCUUACUUAAUAUAUUCUUAUUUUCAAGGCCAAACUCCACAGAAUGGAGUAACAACCAU